CGCGAAUGGCUCAUUACAACAGCUAAAAUCUACUUGAUCUUGACACAAUCCUACUUGGAUAACUGUGGUAAUUCUAGAGCUAAUACAUGCAUUAAAGCUCUGACCUUAGGGGAAGAGUGCAUUUAUUAGAACAAAACCAAGCGGCUUCGGCUGUUUUCGGUUGACUCAUAGUAACUGAGCUGAUCGCAUGGUCUUGCACCGGCGACGUGUCUUUCGAGUAUCUGCCGUAUCAACUUUCGAUGGUAGUGUAUCUGACUACCAUGGUGAUCGCGCGUAACGGAGAAUAAGGGUUCGACUCCGGAGAGUUCGCCUGAGAAAUCGCGAACACAUCUAAGGAAGGCAGCAGGCGCGAAAAUUACCCACUCUCAGCACGAGGAGGUAGUGACGAAAAAUAACGAGACCGUUCUCUUAUGAGGCCGGUCAUCGGAAUGGGUACAAUUUAAACCCUUUAACGAGUAUCUAUGAGAGGGCAAGUCUGGUGCUAGCAGCCGCGGUAAUUCCAGCU
rnacentral:rRNA from 1 species